rnacentral:rRNA from 1 species
UGGGGGAAAAUUAAUAUAAUAAAAUAAAUAAUAAAAAUAAUUAUAAAAAAUAAUUAAUGGGGGUUAAAGUAUUUUUUAGAAAAAAUUUAUUAAUUUAUAGUUUAAUAGUAUUGUGAAAGAAUUUUGAAAUAAAGUUAAAUAUGGAUUAUUAUUUAAGUAAAUUUAAUUUAUUGUAUCUUGUGUAUCAGAGUUUAUUAAUAAAAAUAUUUUUAAAUAAAAAUAUCUCGAAUUUAAAAGAGAUAGUUAAUUAUUAAAGUUAAUGUGACAUAAUUAUUUUAAAUAAUUAAUUUGAAAUGAAAUGUUAAUCGUUUUUAAAAAUAUUUAGUUUUUUUAGAAAAAAAUUUAAUUUUAAAUUAACUUAAUAAUUUUUUAAAUUUGUCAUAUAAAAUUAUAUAUUUAAUUAAAUAUUUUAAGGGAUAAGCUUUAAAUUAAAUUUUUAUAAUAUUAACAAAUUAUUUAAAUAUUUUAAAAUUUAUAUUUUUUAUAAAUUAUAAUUUUUUAUAAAUAAUUUUAUUUAUUUUAAAAUUUAAAUUUAUAUUUAAAUUUAUAUAAAAAAAUAAUUUUUAAUAAUAAAAAAUUAGUUAUAAUGAUAAAAUUAGUAUAUAAAAAAAAAUAAAAUAAAAUUAAUUAAAAUUAAUAAAAAGGAAUUCGGCAAAAAU